rnacentral:rRNA from 1 species
AGUGAACGCUGGCGGUAGGCCUAACACAUGCAAGUCGAACGGCAGCACAGUAAGAGCUUGCUCUUACGGGUGGCGAGUGGCGGACGGGUGAGGAAUACAUCGGAAUCUACUUUUUCGUGGGGGAUAACGUAGGGAAACUUACGCUAAUACCGCAUACGACCUACGGGUGAAAGCAGGGGAUCUUCGGACCUUGCGCGAUUGAAUGAGCCGAUGUCGGAUUAGCUAGUUGGCGGGGUAAAGGCCCACCAAGGCGACGAUCCGUAGCUGGUCUGAGAGGAUGAUCAGCCACACUGGAACUGAGACACGGUCCAGACUCCUACGGGAGGCAGCAGUGGGGAAUAUUGGACAAGGGGCGCAAGCCUGAUCCAGCCAUACCGCGUGGGUGAAGAAGGCCUUCGGGUUGUAAAGCCCUUUUGUUGGGAAAGAAAAGCAGCAGGUUAAGACCCCGCUGUUCUGACGGGACCCAAAGAAUAAGCACCGGCGAACUUCGU